AACGAACGCUGGCGGCGUGGAUAAGACAUGCAAGUCGAACGGGAUUACUUCGAGUAGCAAUACCUGAAGUAAUUUAGUGGCGAACGGGUGCGUAACACGUGGGGAAUCUGCCGAGAAGUGGGGGGAUAGCUCGUCGAAAGGCGAAUUAAUACCGCAUAUGAUCAGGGAAGACAUCUUUCCAACAUCAAAGCCGGGGCGAACCUGGCGCUUCUUGAUGACCCCGCCGGCCUAUCAGCUAGUUGGUGAGGUAACGGCCCACCAAGGCGAUGACGGGUAGCUGGUCUGAGAGGACGACCAGUCACACUGGAACUGAGACACGGUUCAGACACCUACGGGUGGCAGCAGUCGAGUAAUUUUUCUUCAAUGGGGGCAACCUGAAGGAGCGACGCCGCGUGGAGGAUGAA
rnacentral:rRNA from 1 species